rnacentral:rRNA from 1 species
AGCGAACGCUGGCGGCAGGCCUAACACAUGCAAGUCGAACGAAGCCUUCGGGCUUAGUGGCGGACGGGUGAGUAACACGUGGGAACGUACCUUUUGGUUCGGAACAACUCAGGGAAACUUGAGCUAAUACCGGAUGAGCCCUUAGGGGGAAAGAUUUAUCGCCGAAAGAGCGGCCCGCGUUAGAUUAGCUAGUUGGUGAGGUAAAGGCUCACCAAGGCAACGAUCUAUAGCUGGUCUGAGAGGAUGAUCAGCCACACUGGGACUGAGACACGGCCCAGACUCCUACGGGAGGCAGCAGUGGGGAAUCUUGCGCAAUGGGCGAAAGCCUGACGCAGCCACGCUGCGUGAAUGAUGAGGGUCUUAGGAUUGUAAAAUUCUUUUACCAGGGACGAUAAUGACGGUACCUGGAGAAAAAGCCCCGGCUAACUUCGUGCCAGCAGCCGCAGUAA